UCCGCACCGAAGUUAUUACCUAUAAUGUUUUAGUACACAAAAAUUUUCCUCAAGUUAAAAGGAAAGUAAAACAGAGAGAGAGAGACCUUAUGACAAAUUUUUUCAAACUGAUGCUGGCUUGGGCAAAUUUCUCGUAUCCCCAUUAGCUGUCUAACUUUCAGAAAAGAAAGCAAGUAACUUUUCGGCCAUGUAAAUGCAUUACAGAUUUUCCCUUGAUAAUCAUUCAAUUUGGAGCAAUUUGG
rnacentral:misc_RNA from 1 species